UGGUGCUGUGCUCUGACCUACUAACUUGGCCUUACUAACCCCAUUUUCUUACUAACCCCAGCCCUGCCGAGCUCUGGGC
ensembl:misc_RNA